rnacentral:misc_RNA from 1 species
UACGGAGGGCGCAAGCGUUGUUCGGAAUCAUUGGGCGUAAAGCGCGUGUAGGCGGCCGAGCAAGUCGGAUGUGAAAGCCCGGGGCCCAACCCCGGAAUUGCAUUCGAUACUGCUCGGCUGGAGUCCCGGAGAGGAGAGCGGAAUUCCCGGUGUAGAGGUGAAAUUCGUAGAUAUCGGGAGGAACACCAGUGGCGAAGGCGGCUCUCUGGACGGUGACUGACGCUGAGACGCGAAAGCGUGGGGAGCAAACAGG